GUUGCAUUGGACAAAUUGGUAGUGUAGUUUCUGUCUUUUCAGAGGAGCAUGGUUUUUUCUCCUGUUUUUGCUUGACUGGCCAACAGCUGAAUUCAGAGUGAACAAAACAGCUCAGCUCAUAAGGACCUAAAAAUAUCAAAAUAGAGGACCCCUGGGCAGAGCCCUCCUGUUCCUACAGAAGAUCUCCAUUCUGUGGAGGGAAAGAGAGGGGCUAAAGGAAGCAUCUGGUGGAAAUGAAAUCCGAAAUGAAAGCCUCUUCAGGCUCCUUGUUCACACUGAGAAAGAUACUGCAUUGAAUGGGAGGCCAGCAGGGUAUCUGGUGCCUUUUUAGCACCCACCUGCAGCACUCCACUCACUUCUCUGCUUUUCCUCAUGAAGAAUCGGCUGCACAACACCCAAGCAUCUCCUGUGAUCAAGACUCAGUCCCUGUGGUGCCCAGCUGCUCAUUUUUGCCCAGACAUUCUGCAGGUCUCCAUCAUCUGUCUCAACAUUCCAUGGGAAAAGGACUGGGGGAGGUAACUUCCAUGCUUCACAUAUGAGGCUUGGAUGCCCAAAGACACAGUGAGUUUUCACCAAAUGUUCCUCAAAGAACAACUCAGUCUGAGAAAUCCUCCCACAAAUCCUGCACUUGUGCACGUGAUCAGCCCUGCCAAUCCACUGCAGACUGCAAACGCCAUAGACAGGAUUCCAAACACUUAAUGUCAAAUAGCUCAUUUUCUCUCAUCUCCAUACAAAUUCCUGUCAUGUUGCAUUACAUGUAAACAACUGAGAAGCUUAAUGACAUGCCUUUCAGUCAAAAAUUCAUAUGGCUUUUCAGUUUGAGCAGAUUAAUUGCAGUUUGUAACAAUAUGAAGUGAUUCAAUUUGAUUAGAGUUUCUAUUGUUCUUUGAGAUAAAAUAUUUUAUGUGAAUGUAAAGCCAAGUUUUCUGAUGGCACGACUUUAUUGAAUUUUGUGGAAAUAUAAAAUACUCAUCUAAAACCCAUAGUACAUCAUUGUUGGUGUGCUGUUACAGUAAACAAAUUUUAUAAGAUUCUGUAAAUUAUAUGUGCCAGAUCAGAUUCCAGGCCCCAUGGAAAUGUCAUUGUCAAUUAAGUGAGGCAGUAGGAAUAUUUGGCUUUGGAGGAGACAAUUCUGAAUGAAUCUUUUAGACUUUUUUUAUAAUUUUGAAGGGUUUUUCUAUUUCCAUUUUUUCAGCAUCCCUGUCUUCUUUUUGAUGUCUUGCUCUUAAAAUCUGCUUGGAAUUCUCUUUAGUUUCAUUCCUAUGUACUCUAGGGUCAUUUUUCUAUUCUCGCUACAGACAUUGCUCUGGUGUUCUGUAGUCAUCCCAUAGAUCCAAGCCCAGAAGCCCUGCAACAUAAGUUCUGCUUGCUACCAAUAGGGAUAAUGUGAGGAACUUCCAUGAAACCUCUGCUUCCUACAACUGACAGCUAAUUAUCUCACCUUAUGAAAACUAUGCAUAACUUCUGGGACUCAUCUAUCAAAAGGAGAGAGCACACAACACUCUGAGAAGUUGGUACCUUCUCUCUAGUUAUCUGGGUUGAUGGUUGACGGUUGUGAAUCUAUUGACUGCCUGGAGUGAUUUGCAUCUUUACAGGGAGAGGUGCACAAGGAGCUGCGAGAGGACAGAGCCAGGAUCGCUGACCCCAAAUGACCAAAGGGAUGUUCCUGAGCAUAUGGUGUCAUGAUCAGCACCUAAAGCUAAGGGGGAUGAAGGAAGACAAGGGGGGAGUCUAUUUGGAGUGAUGGCAUUUGUCUUCCCAAGCAAUCAUUAUAUGUGACGGAGCCUUGCUCUCCUGACAAUCACCUGCCCAUAGGCAGGGGUGAAGGAAUUCCCUAUUUUGCUUUGCUUGCACUCAGGGCUUUUGCUUUAGCUAUUAAACUAUCUUCAUUUCAACUCCCAAAUUUUCUCAUUUUUGCCCUUCUGAUUCUCUCCGCCAUCUGACCAUGGGAAGUGAGCGGCUCUGUGGUCCCCUGCUGCCAGCUGAGGUUAAACCACAAGAGCAAUAAGCAUAUAGGAAUUGACAGGGCUACAGGCAACCUGCUUUAAGUGCUCAAGCUGAGCAGCUUAACCUCUUCUGCCCUCUUAGCCACUAGCAUUUCCUCCGCUUUUUUCUUUUUUUCUGAUUCAACAGUCACUCCAGAUCAUUCAGAGC